AAGGUUACUUCUCUGGAGAACUAACUUACAUCUAUUCUCUGGCACUCAUGACAUUGCCCCUGGAAACCUGGUGAUUAAACAAGCAAGAGGACAACGCAUUGAAAAACGGAGCAGCCAUGAUCUGUUCCCUCCGUGUGGCCUGCGGAACAGCAGCCUGAGAGAGAUUGCGUAGCUUCUAUUAGCUGCAGUUGCAGAGUGCGUGCAUUUGGCUUGUUUUGAGAAAUGCUUGUCAAAAUGACCCUUUGGAUGUGUCCCCAGCUACAAGUUGAUCACACCGUCACACUUGUCGUCAUAAGCAUAUUGAGGAACUGGCUCAUUUCUUCUUCACACUCUGCUAUUUGCCAAGCCAUCGUACUAGCAAUAAAAAUGAGAACCAGCAAGAUCAAUUUAACCAG